UACAGAGGUCUCAAGCGUUGUUCGGAUUUACUGGGCGUAAAGAGCGCGCAGGCGGUCGUUCAAGUCGAGUGUGAAAGCCCCCGGCUCAACUGGGGAGGGUCACUCGAUACUGAUCGACUCGAAGGCAGGAGAGGGAAGUGGAAUUCCCGGUGUAGUGGUGAAAUGCGUAGAUAUCGGGAGGAACACCAGUGGCGAAGGCGACUUCCUGGCCUGUUCUUGACGCUGAGGCGCGAAAGCUAGGGGAGCAAACGGG
rnacentral:rRNA from 1 species